rnacentral:tRNA from 1 species
GGUCCGUUGGUGUAGUUCGGCAGCACACCUGGUUCUCAACCAGACAGGGCGAGUUCAAAUCUCGUACGGACCACCC